rnacentral:rRNA from 1 species
GGGGAAUCUUCCGCAAUGGGCGAAAGCCUGACGGAGCAAUACCGCGUGAGGGAGGAAGGCUCUUGGGUUGUAAACCUCUUUUCUCAGGGGAGAACAGAAUGACGGUACCUGAGGAAUAAGCAUCGGCUAACUCCGUGCCAGCAGCCGCGGUAAUACGGAGGAUGCAAGCGUUAUCCGGAAUGAUUGGGCGUAAAGAGUCCGUAGGUGGCAUUGAAAGUCUGCUGUUAAAGAGUCUAGCUCAACUAGAUAAGAGCAGUGGAAACUACAAAGCUAGAGUUUGGUCGGGGCAGAAGGAAUUCCUGGUGUAGCGGUGAAAUGCGUAGAUAUCAGGAAGAACACCGGUGGCGAAGGCGUUCUGCUAGGCCGAGACUGACACUGAGGGACGAAAGCUAGGGGAGCGAAUGGGAUUAGAUACCCCAGUAGUC